rnacentral:lncRNA from 12 species
ACAGGGGAGGGUGCAGGAGGCCAUGUUAUGGGAGCUGAGAUCACAAUGGAGCCAUGCCAAUGCCUUGACCUUGCAAGAGAACCAGAGCCAGUGGAAGAAACACUAUAUCAGCGAGAGUGCCAGAAAAACAAAAGGAAACAAAAAACAUCAUUAAACCUGCCUUUGGAAGCAUGUGAGACUUAGAAUAAAUAACAAGAAAGAAUAUUGAAAAUUGGAUUU